rnacentral:rRNA from 1 species
AGCGAACGCUGGCGGCAGGCCUAACACAUGCAAGUCGAACGAAGUCUUCGGACUUAGUGGCGGACGGGUGAGUAACACGUGGGAACGUGCCUUUAGGUUCGGAAUAACUCAGGGAAACUUGUGCUAAUACCGAAUGUGCCCUUCGGGGGAAAGAUUUAUCGCCUUUAGAGCGGCCCGCGUCUGAUUAGCUAGUUGGUGAGGUAAAGGCUCACCAAGGCUACGAUCAGUAGCUGGUCUGAGAGGAUGACCAGCCACAUUGGGACUGAGACACGGCCCAAACUCCUACGGGAGGCAGCAGUGGGGAAUCUUGCGCAAUGGGCGAAAGCCUGACGCAGCCAUGCCGCGUGGAUGAUGAAGGUCUUAGGAUUGUAAAAUCCUCUCACCGGUGAAGAUAAUGACUGUAGCCGGAGAAGAAGCCCCGGCUAACUUCGUGCCAGCCGCCGCCGUAA